AAGGAGACUACAAUUCCCAGUAGGCUUAGAGGGAGCGGGACCGCGCACGCGCGGCCCAGAGGCUGGGAUAAAGGUCUCGAUGCAGCUUCUGAGAGAGAAAAAUGGCAGCGCCCAUGUUGCUACCUGGCCUGGGCAGGCUCUUUGAGAUGCCAGCGGCGCUGGUGCACGUGAGCCGAGCUUACAGCAAGCCCCAGGCCUUCACGGAGGUUCUACAACUGCCAAAACGGCAACUGACGAAGUUUGUGUUCCCACUGCAGGAACUUCAGCGGCACCUCCUUUCCGACUCCACAUCCGACCUUCACCUGAAGACGUUCGACCCGAGCCUGGAGGACCUCGCGAGGGCGGAGGGCUUCUUUACGGCCACUGCCGGGAACCGCAUCGAGUACCUCAGUUCCGCAGUGCGUCUGGACCACGCCCCGGACCUUCCCCGCCCUGAGGUGUGUUUUAUAGGCAGAAGCAAUGUUGGAAAAUCCUCUCUAAUAAAGGCUUUAUUUUCACUGGCUCCAGAGGUUGAAGUCAGAGUCUCCAAAAAACCGGGUCACACAAAGAAAAUGAAUUUUUUUAAAGUUGGAAGAUAUUUCACAUUGGUGGACAUGCCAGGUUAUGGCUAUAGAGCACCUGAAGAUUUUGUUGAUAUGGUAGAGACCUAUCUAAAAGAACGAAAGAAUUUGAUGAGAACAUUUUUGUUAGUGGAUAGCGUUGUCGGAAUUCAAAAAGCAGACAGUAUUGCCAUAGAAAUGUGUGAAGAGCUUGCGUUACCUUAUGUGAUGGUAUUAACAAAAAUUGACAAAUCUUCCACAGGACAUCUUCUAAAACAAGUGCUUCAGAUCCAGAAAUUUGUUAACACUAAAACACAAGGAUGUUUUCCUCAGUUGUUUCCUGUAAGAUUUUGCUCUACCUUUGUUCUCUUUCCUCCUUAGCCUAGCUCAGCCCUACACCACAGCAGAAGUGAAAACUUUGUACUUUUUAGAAUCAGCUAAAUAAAAACCACAAUAAAGUGCUGUGACCUAUUCUGGAAUCCAUCUGUUGAGAUGCUUUAUAGCAAAUAUAACAGGACAUCUUAAGACUUAAUGGUGUCUAGUUGAGCUGAAGACUCAAAAUUUUUUAUGCCAGCUGGAGCUAAACACCUAGAAUUUCAGCAUUGUUUUAAAUGUUGCAUGUCUAUAAUCUGCAGGGGAUCAGUUCACCUCUUACCAAAGCAGGAAUGAAUUCUGUGCCUGGCAGGGGGGUGGUUUAUAAAUGAUUGAAUUAUGCCUUCAUUAGAACAGAUGCUAGAAGUUUUUCUUAUUUUAACAAACUGACACACAAGAGCAGCAUAUAAAAGUCCAUAAGGUGAAAACCUGUUUACUACUGUGUAGAGAAGGGUUUCCAUGUUACUUAUUGGGCUCUGUCUUUUAAAGAAAAUGUCUAUUAUGUAUAUUUUUAAAUAUUAAAAUGGAAUAGGUCUCAAAAAGGAGUUAGCUUUCCGUUAAUGACUGAUAGGUAAGUCGAAGAUAAAUGCUCCUAUUUGUAUGCCUAUAAUUUAUCUUUUUUCCUGAAUCCUUAUUUGAAUUCUUUAAAUUAUUCUUGAUAAAAUUUUAGUCAGUGCAUGCUGGAAAUACCAGUAAAUUCAGUCUGGGGUCAGUCACCUUCAGCUCCACAAGGGAUUCAGAAUCAGAAGACCAGAAUUGAAGUUCCAGUUCUAUUAUUUUUUUUUAUAUGCUAGACCUUGAUUUCUUGAGCUCCAUUUGUAACUCUAACCUCACAAGCUAUGAAGAUGAAAGCAGUGUAUGUGAAAAGAAGAUCUUCAUGUUCUGCAUAUUCAUAAAGGGAAACCAAUCCAAGAAUACAGCUAAUUUUCACAGGUAGAUUUAUCACAGAAAAUAUCAUGGAGGAAGCAACAUUUUCUCUAGUGAAAGACAAAAAAACAAAAAAGAAUAGUUCUGAGAAAACUGAUUUGCAAAGCAUGAGAAUAAAGUUGAUGGGACUAUUUAGAAUCAGUACAUUAAGAUUCACAAUGGAAAGAUAAAGCCUUAACUUUGAACUUAAGUUAAUGGAAAAGAUUUUUAGAAAGAUGCUACUGCCUUUUCAUGUAAGUGGCUUAGUUUUUCAAAGUGAGGCUGAAUAUUAUAAGGGUGUAGCAAUAGCUCUGAAUAAAAGAAAUUAAG